GCACUAGCAAGCUGUCGUGCAGGCCAUGAGGAAGGCUUCGGCUGACAGGAGAGGCAUGCAGACCUCAAGCAGACGCUCCCUUGAAGGGCAGGUUGCAUUCAUGGUUGGUUCAUGGAGGCGGCCUUGGCUAGGCCUGGGCGGCAUCAGCAGCAGCAGCAGCAGCAGCAGCAGCAGCAGCAGCAGCAGCAGCAGGAGCAGCAGCAGCAGCAGCAGCAAGGCGCUGGCCGUUCCGCUCACCCACAAGAACAGCUGCCACCAGUACCCUGGGGAUGACUAGAGGCCGGACCACAGGCCACAAAAAGAAGAAGGCUACCCCACUUACAGAUGCAGACCAUGUGGGGGUCCGGAGAGCUGCUUGUAGCGUGGUUUCUAGUACUGGCAGCAGGUGGUACUACUGAGCAUGUCUACAGACCCAGCCGUAGAGUGUGUACCGUGGGGGUUUCCGGAGGCUCCAUCUCAGAGACCUUUGUGCAGCGUGUAUACCAGCCUUACCUCACCACUUGUGAUGGACACAGAGCCUGUAGCACCUACCG
rnacentral:lncRNA from 1 species